GCCGUUGUAGCUCAAUGGCAGAGCGGCUGAUUUGUAAUCAGUAGGUUGGGAGUUCAACUCUCCCCGGCGGCU
rnacentral:tRNA from 1 species